rnacentral:rRNA from 1 species
CCUACGGGGUGCAGCAGUGGGGAAUAUUGCACAAUGGGGGAAACCCUGAUGCAGCAACGCCGCGUGGGUGAAGGAGCGUUUCGGCGCGUAAAGCCCUGUCAGCGGGGAAGAAGAAAGACGGUACCCGACCAAGAAGCCCCGGCUAACUACGUGCCAGCAGCCGCGGUAAUACGUAGGGGGCAAGCGUUAUCCGGAUGUACUGGGUGUAAAGGGAGCGCAGACGGUGAGACAAGUCUGAAGUGAAAGCCCGGGGCUCAACCCCGGGACUGCUUUGGAAACUGCCUGACUGGAGUGCUGGAGAGGCAAGCGGAAUUCCUAGUGGAGCGGUGAAAUGCGUAGAGAUUAGGAAGAACACCAGUGGCGAAGGCGGCUUGCUGGACAGUAACUGACGUUGAGGCUCGAAAGCGUGGGGAGCAAACAGGAUUAGAUACCCUGGUAGUC